GACGAACGCUGGCGGCGCGCUUAACACAUGCAAGUCGAACGGAAAGGCCUGCUUUCCCUUGUGGAUUGCGGGUACUCGAGUGGCGAACGGGUGAGUAACACGUGAGUGAUCUGCCCCCAACUUGGGUAUAAGCCUGGGAAACUGGGUCUAAUUCCCGAUAGGACUGCAGGGUGGUGCCUGUGGUGGAAAACGAUUUUCUAGUGGUUGGGGAGUAGCUCGCGGCCUAUCAGCUUGUUGGUGGGGUAAUGGCCUACCAAGGCGGCGACGGGUAGCCGGCCUGGGGGGGUGGACGGCCACAUUGGGACUGAGAUGCGGCCCAGACUCCUACGGGAGGCAGCAGGGGGGAAUAUUGCACAAUGGGCGGAAGCCUGAUGCAGCGACGCCGGGUGGGGGAUGACGGCCUUCGGGUGGUAAACUCCUUUCGACCGCGAGGAAGCCACCUGGUUGGAAGGGUGGUGACGGUAGUGGUAGAAGAAGCACCGGCUAACUACGUG
rnacentral:rRNA from 1 species